AUACGUAGGUGGCAAGCGUUAUCCGGAUUUAUUGGGUUUAAAGGGAGCGCAGGCGGAGAUGCAAGCGUGACGUCAAAUUUCGGGGCUCAACCCCGUCUCGCGUCGCGAACUGCGUCCCUUGGUUGCGGGAAGGGGAGGCGGAACUCGUGGGGGCGCGGUGAAAUGCAUCGAUAUCACGAAGAACUCCGAUCGCGAAGGCAGCCUUCCGGCCCGUCAACGACGCUCAUGCUCGAAGGUGCGGGUAUCAAACAGGAUUAGAUACCCUGGUAGUCCGCACAGUAAACGAUGGACACCCGCGGUUUGGCCUGUAUGGCUGAGCCGCCAAGCGAAAGCGUUAAGUGUCCCACCUGGGGAGUACACCGGCAACGGUGAAACUCAAAGGAAUUGACGGGG
rnacentral:rRNA from 1 species